rnacentral:rRNA from 1 species
CCUACGGGAGGCAGCAGUCGAGAAUCAUUCACAAUGGGGGAAACCCUGAUGGUGCGACGCCGCGUGGGGGAAUGAAGGUCUUCGGAUUGUAAACCCCUUUCAUGUGGGAGCAAAUUAAAAAGAUAGUACCACAAGAGGAAGAGACGGCUAACUCUGUGCCAGCAGCCGCGGUAAUACGGAGGUCUCAAGCGUUGUUCGGAAGCACUGGGCGUAAGGCGUGCGUAGGCGGUUUCGUAAGUCGUGUGUGAAAGGCGCGGGCUCAACCCGCGGACGGCACAUGAUACUGGGAGAAUAGAGUGAUGGAGGGGGAAGCGGAAUUCGCGGUGUAGCAGUGAAAUGCGUAGAUAUCGAGAGGAACACUCGUGGCGAAGGCGGGUUCCUGGACAUUAACUGACGCUGAGGCACGAAGGCCAGGGGAGCGAAAGGGAUUAGAUACCCGGGUAGUC